ensembl:lncRNA
GCCAAAACGAAAAUCUAACGGCGCGAAGUGGCGAAAGACAGUAAGAGGAGAGUAUCACAUGGAUGAAGCCAAGCGACCCCAGCGGUGCUGAAAAGAGGAGGAAGAAGGAAGAAAAACAAACAUUUACGUCAAAGUUGCAGAAAGUGACAAGUUUCUUCACUGCUCCUGCGGCAGCGGCCAGCAGCAGCAACCCACCACCUGCUCAACCGACGUGGACACCUGAGGAGGCUCCGUCCUGUGCAAAUGAACAAAAUGAGACAGGGAUGUGCUGUGAGAGCUCUCCAGCAUCAUCCACUGUACUUGCAGAACAUGAUCCAGCACUCUGGCCAAAACAGCUGUCGGAUAGUGCACGAUGCUCAAUAGUGGAGAGAGGAGCACUUCAGCUGUGGAGGAAGGACCUUUUCACCACCCCCCCCCCCCCCGCGGUGAGCUUCGCGUCCACCCAGACGCCCGAGACGGGGUUUUCAGAGCAUGCAAGCUCCUUCUCCCACCGGUGAAAAGUUGGGAAGACAUCGUUAACGCUGCAGACUUCCGAGGCCAUUUGUUCUACGGCCAAUUCAUGUUUAUCUUCAUUAUGGGUUAGGGUUCUUGAAAAUGUUGUGGGUUGAAUAAAGUAAUUUAUAAAGGC